AGUGAACGCUGGCGGCAGGCCUAACACAUGCAAGUCGAACGGCAGCACAAGAGAGCUUGCUCUCUGGGUGGCGAGUGGCGGACGGGUGAGGAAUGCAUCGGAAUCUGCUCAUUUGUGGGGGAUAACCUCGGGAAACCGGGACUAAUACCGCAUACGACCUACGGGUGAAAGCAGGGGAUCUUCGGACCUUGCGCAGAUGGAUGAGCCGAUGCCGGAUUAGCUAGUUGGAGGGGUAAAGGCCCACCAAGGCGACGAUCCGUAGCUGGUCUGAGAGGAUGAUCGGCCACACUGGGACUGAGACACGGCCCAGACUCCUACGGGAGGCAGCAGUGGGGAAUAUUGGACAAUGGGCGCAAGCCUGAUCCAGCCAUGCCGCGUGUGUGAAGAAGGCCUUCGGGUUGUAAAGCACUUUUGUUGGGAAAGAAAAGCAGCCGGUUAAUACCCGGUUGUCAUGACGGUACCCAAAGAAUAAGCACCGGCUAACUUCGUG
rnacentral:rRNA from 1 species